CAUGCAUCAUCACCCACAAGCCCCCGCACAGGUUUCUCACCAGCUGGGGUUUUGACAGUAGCAUGGUUGACAUCGGGAUACUGAGUUGAAGAGUGAUUUCCCCAUAUGAUAACAUUCUUAACAUCGGAUACUUGAACAUUCAGCCUUUCAGAGACCUGACCUAGUGCCCUGUUAUGGUCUAGUCUUGUCAAACAACUAAUGUUUUUCUCAGGAAUUGAUGGUGCAAAUUCCUUCAGGAUCAAGGCAUUUGUAUUUGCUGGGUUAGCAACAACCAAAACCUGAAAUAAAUGAAUGAAUGAAUAAUAAAUAAAAUUGAUUGGAAAAACACAGAAGAAAAGAAAGAAGCAUUGGCCAAGGAGUGUGGGUCACUUCCAAGUAAAAGUAUUCCCUGGUAACUAUUAAGGUGGUUCAAUCUUCACUCAAGUGCAUGAUUUUAUCAAGAAAGAAAAUUCGAAACAUGAUAUAAUCUUCAGCACCUUGCAAUUUGCAGCUGCAUGAUUUUCAAGUGCAGAGGCCUGAGACUUGUAGAUGGAAACAUUUUUGGACAUCACAUCUUUCCUUUCCAUUCCUUCUUUCCUUGGGAAGCCACCAACCAUGACAGCAAUAUUGACUCCAGUGCAUGCCUCAACAACAUCAGUUGUAGCAACAACACCUGAAAAAAAAUUAGAACUCAGUAUUGUUGUCAUCAUUUUGACUGAUAUGUAAUCACAGCAUUUCAUGGAAGAAAAGAAAAUUACCUUUAAGAAGUGGAAAAGCAGCAUCCACCAAUUCCAUUUUGACCCCAUUUAAGGCCUCUGCAGCAGGAGGGAUAUCAAGCAUGUGCAGAAUCACAGGCUGAUCAGCACCCAACAUCACUCCCCUAGCAAUCAUGGGGACAAGUGCAUAUCCAAUUUGUCCUACAAAUCAAAAUCAUUUUACCACAACAAAAUCAGUUAAAAGAAAUUGAACAGGAAAAGAGGAACAUCAAAAUGGACUAUAUCGAAUCUAGGUCUAAUUUCGGUUGGUACAUGAAUUUAGCACAUCAAAAUAUGAUGAACUGAUCUUUUUUAACAAUUGCAUGAUUAAUAAAUGCUUAAACCAACUAAAAUCAAAUCCAACUACGGCAUUUUAAAGGCAUAGUCUCUAUACAAGUUGAGCACAAUGAAAAGUGCAAGCAGUUGAAUAAAAACGAUCUUUGAGUAUACAUGCAAUUUACUGUACAUUACGUAUUAAAUUAAAAGCAGAUGAUUUACAUAGUAAAAGCAGCACAUACAACGCCAACUAUCUUUCUACUCCACAAAAAACAAUUAAUUUACAGAAUGAAAGCAGCUUUCAAGAAGCAUAGUCAUACUACACUAAAGCGUAGUCAUACUACACUAACUCUGGUAGAGUUUACCUCUCAUCACUGAUAACAAGAGAUGAAAAGAGAACUUAAAAUUUUGGAUCCAACGCUUAAGUUUUUUAUUAUCUAUUUUCGUUGUCAAAACCAAAACAACAUUAACAUAAUAUUCUGAAAUCAUAUUCUGUUUCCCAAACUUUUCCCAAGCUUCCUUUGGAUCAUAGGUUGGAAGGAAAGAUGCUGAAAAUGGAUUUUCCCUAAAUCUAUUUUCAGCAUUUUCGUUUCCUUUCAGUCAUUUUAUCCGAGAGCCAAACGCAACCUUAUCCAGAGACUCAAAAACAGUCAAAAGAACCAUAAAGAGUAGUUCAUGAUCCACUAAGAAACUUGCUAAAAACACUAAUCCACCCACAAUAGACAGAAGUAUUCAGAUCGCCAGAUCAGAAAACACAACACUCAGCAGAAACAACCGAUUCGAUCACAAACACCACCACAACAUCAAGCACCGAUGCAAUUAUAGAGCAAAAACCACGAUUGAUCCCUAAUUUUUUCAGAUCAAAAACCGAUUCAACAAAAUUAUUACGCAAAUCACAAGAUCUAUAGUAGCCCUCAGCUUUUACCCUCAAAAAAGCAACCAACACAAAGAAAUGGGAAACAAAAAAGAAAAAACAAAAUAAAACAAAACAGAACAACUCUUGCUUUCUGAGCAACCAAACAGCGGAAUCAUGGAGAAGAGAACCGUAGAUCUUGUGGUACCUGCGGCUCCAGUAACGAGAACGCGAACUGGUUCUUUGGCCAUUGUAGGAAUCGCAGGGGAGCACGGGAGAGGAAAACGACGCCUACAAAUCUAAUCUGCCUGUACACUAACCACUGUGUGUGUGCUCAAUUUUAUAGUAGAAUUUACUGCGUGCCGCUGCUUUUCGUCAAACCAGAGGUUUGGCCACGUGGCACAUCCUCAGCCAUCAUAUUUAGAAAAUUAUCAAAGAGGAUGGGCAUUUUAAGAUGUCAAUUUUAUCCUUUAACCUUUUUACGGUUACUCCUUUGCUUCCUAUGUUGAAAAAAAAAUUGGAAAAGUAGGUAAUGAAAUAUAUAUAUAAAAAUCAAGAAAAAUAGGUUAAAAGAUAAUAAUUAAAAACUCAAUAUUUUUUAUAUUAUUAUAAGAAAUUAAAUAAUUUGCUCAUUUUAUUAUAAGAAAUUAAAUUUUUUGAAAUAUACUUUUCUCAAAAAAAAAUUAAAACUUGAGAUUUUUGUAGACAAUUAGUAAAAAAGGAAAUUUAAUUUUUAUUUUCUUUAGAAUGAAAACCAAACCCUAAGAUUUCUAUGCACAAAUUUUACAUAUCCUAAUAGAAUGAAAAAUUACUUCCUCCAAGGACUAAUAAAUUAAUUAGCACAUCAAAAAAUUAAAAAUUAAUAAAAUUAGGUUAUAUUGUAGUAUAUUGUAAUAUUAAUGUAUUUGUAUUAUAAGUGUUUAUGCAUUAACGAUUUUUGUGAUAAAAUUAAUAAUUUAAAAAAUAUCUAUUUAUACUCUAUUGGUAUUAAUACAUUAUACUAAUAUAUUAACAUCAUUAACUCGGUCCAUUGAAAUUAUUUAAUCAUUUAAAAAAAAUUACAAGUCUGAUGAAUUUUAAAUUAUUGGUUUCAUAAAAGUUCAAAAUUUUCUCAAUUGAGUUUUGUUGUAAUAUAUAUAUAUAUAUAUAUAUAUAUAAAUAUUAUAACAGAAGUAACAAUAUUAGAGAUAUUUUAAACAUCAUUUUUAACGAUAUUUGGUUUCAUAAAAGAAACCAAAUACAUUAAUUUGAAUUCACGAGACUUGUCAUUUUUUUUUUAAAUAAAAAUGAUUAAACAAUUUCAAUGUAUUGAGUUAAUGAUAUUAAUUCAUUGAUAUGAUGUAUUAAAAUAAUAGGGUAUAAAUAGGUAUUUUUAAAAUAACUGAUUUUAUUAUAAAAGAUAUAUUGGACAUAAAUGUGUUAUAUUUAUAAUAUAAAUAGACUAACAUUAUAAUACAUUACAAUAUAAUCUUCUUCUUCUUUUUUAAUCUUUUUAUGUGAUAUACUACUAAGCUAAUAAUCGUACAUUAUUCAAUUGAUUAAUAUUCAUGAAAUUAACUAGUCAUUAUAUUAGGAUAACAAAGUUUUUACUUGGUCGUAAGCAAUUGUUAAAAUUUAUCAUUCGAUGCACAAAUAGCAUAGUAAGCUUAGAGUUUGGUUUUUAUUUUAAAGAAAUUGAAAAUUAAAUUUCUUUUUUUUUUUUUCUAGGUUCUCUACAAAAAUCUCAAAUUUUUAAUUUUUUAAUUUUUAGAAAAGUAUAUUUCAAAUAAUUAAUUUCUUAUAAUAAAAUAAGAAAAAAAAUGAGAUAAUUUUUUAUAAUUUUUCCUUUGACCUUUUUUCUUGAUUUUAUAUUUUUUUUCUUAUUUAUUUAUUUUCUAUUUUUUUCAUUUUUCCAAAAAAAAAAAAAAUUCAACCUCAUAUAAGCUAAGGAGAAAUGAAAAUUUUGUGAAAUAAAGGAUAAAGUUGUAAUUUCAUUACUUUUACAAAUUUUUUUUAAUCCUAUGCAAGCAAAGGAGUAAUGGUAAAAAGAUUGAACAAAGGGUAAAAUUGACAUCUUAAAAUUUGGGUCCUUCUUAAUUUUCUUUUUUCUAAAUAUCCUUUUAUAUCUUGCUAUUUUUGCCACCUAUUCGAAGAAAAUCAAUAGCUUUUGACAAUAAAUAUAAAUUUCUACGUUUUUAUUUCAAAAAUAAUAUCUAAUAAAAGUUCUUAAAUAUGAAAAAAAAAGUGUUUUUUUUUUACUUAUUCUUUACUAAGACAUCACAUACUUACCUACAAUAUAAAUUUUUAAAAAAUAUUUUCUAGAUUUUUCAUCAAAAAAACUAAAAAUGCUUAAAAUCUUUUUUAAAAAAUAAUUUAUUUUCAAAACAAAUAAAAAAAAAAACUGUCCAUUUUGUUGAGAUUUUUUCCUUCUUUUUUUCUUUCUCUCAGUUCAAAGUAAUCAAUUUUUAAUAAAAGUUUUAAUUAUUCUAAGCUUAAAAAUUUAACAUUAGAAAAUAAUGUAAAAAUAAUUAAUUCUCUACCAUUCUUAAUAUACCAUGUUUGGUUGAUGAAACAUAGCAUUAUCUAUCCCAUGUUUAACCAAACCCUGGAUAAAAUAGGUGGUAUGAUAUAUCAUCCACUUUCAUUUUUAUAUCCUUUCCAUGGAUAUGUAAAUCUUAAGUUAAAAUAUAGGAGAUAGGAUAUGUAUAUACCACGGAUCAUAAAUUUAUUUAUUAUUAUUUUGUUUAAUAUUACUUAUUUUGUAAAAUAUAAAAUUUAUUUAAAAAAUAAAUUUACAAUUAAAAAAUAUUAAUAUAUGUAUUUUUAAUAUAUAUAUAUAUAUAUAUAUAUAUAAUUCAUUUUACAAACUAAUUAUAAGUAUAACAUAAUAUACGUCAUUGAAUAAACUGCCUUAUGAUGUAAUGUCCAUUUGAUAUAAUAUUUUUAAAUUAAGAAAUAAUUAAUCUAAUACUAACUUGAUCUGAUAUAUAAUUCAAAGUAUUUAAUUCAAAUCCAAUUCAAUCUCAUUUCUCUAAACUUGAGUUUAGUUCAGGUUGAUCAUAUUAUAUAAUUCAAAAUCCAUCCAUUAUGUUUUUUAAAUUUUUUUUUACAUAUAUAAUAAAACAAACUUUCAAGAUAACCACAAAAAUAUAAAAUAAAUCUAUAUAUUUUUCUAAAAAAAUAAAAAAGUAUAUGAUAUAAUAUAAUUUGAUAUUAUUUUUCUUUAAAAAUCUAAAAGAAAAAUUAGUAUUAUUAUAUACGAUAAUAUACAUAAUAAUCAUAACAUUAAAUCAAAUUAAGUUCAGGGCGGGUUGGACCACCCUGUCGUGUCCAAAAGUUUGCAUCCAUAGUUGGAGCCCAUACACUCAAGGAGGAAAAUAUCGGGAUAUAUCGGCGAUAUAUUGUGUAUCGGGAGGGGUCGACACGAUAUUUCGUGAAGAAAAAUCAAAGGGGAGAUAUUUCUGUAAAUAUCGCCAAAAUAUCGGCGAUAUAUCGGUUCGGAGAGAUAUAUCGGAGAUUUUUUGAAAAAAUCGCCUCUGGUGGUAAAAUAUCGGUAAUAUAUCGGCGAUAUAUCGGAGAUAUAUCGCUGAUUUUUUGGGUGAUAUUUCCCCUCCUUCAUGCAACGUGAUCUGACUGCCCAGAUCACGCCCGUGUUGAUCCGAACGGCCUAGAUGUGAUUCCAAUGGUAAUAUGGCGAUCCAACGGCCAGAUUGCUCCCAAUUUUUUUAUCCAACGGCCAAAAUUGAUUUUCAACAGUAAAUUAAUGUUCCAACGGCUAUUUUGGCCCAAAUUUAUUCUAUAAAUAGCCCAAAUUUCAUCUAAUUUUGCUUUCAUUCUUUAUUUUCUCUCUCAUUACUCCAAUCUUUAUUAAGGUUGCUCAAUUAUUUAAUCAUUUUAAGGUAUAUUUGUUUUAAAUUGUAAUUAAUUUUGUUUGCAAUUGUAAUUAAUUCAUGUAUUUUCAAUUAAUUAGUAUGUUUGCAAUAUAGAUUAUUUAAUGCUAUUUUUACAUUCAAUUGCAAUUAAUUUUUAUAUUUUUAUUGAAUUAACUUAGGUUAAUUUGAUUAUUUAAUUAUAAAUUGAUAUGUUUAUUUUAGAUGAUUAUUUGUGAUUUAUUUUCACAUUUAGAAUUAAAUUAAACUAGUUAACUUAGCUAAAUUAUUUAAUUAACAUGCUAAAUUAUUUAAUUAAUUUAAUUAACAUGAACUAGUAUAUUUUGAAUAUGAAAUAUGUUUAUUUAAUGAAUUUAAUGUGUACAAAUUAUUGAUAUUUAAUGAAAUGAAAUAUUUUAUGUGACUUUAUAAUGAGAACAAUUACAAAAUUAACAUUUCUUAUAGAUCGACAUGAUAUAAUUACAUCUAAUAUUGCAAAUUAUAUCAUAUAUAUAUAUAUAUAUAUAUAUAUCAAAUUUUUCAAUAAAACAACUUUAAAAUGUUCAUUAUACUUCUAAUUAUAUUAUUAUGAGAUUUUCCUUACAUUUCCAUGAGUUUUUAGCAAUUUUAAGUCUAUCGAUAUUUGUUUCCAGAAUAUACACCGAUAUAUCCGAUAUAUCCGUAAAAUCGAAAUACCGAUAUAUCCGUAAUUACCGAUAUUUUCAUCCUUGCAUACACGUUGUUGUUGAAAAUAAUUUUAAUAAAAAGUUUUAUUUUUUGAAAUUUUCUAAUCAACAUAAUAACAAUCUUACAUUUAUAAUAAAUUACUCAUAUUUAUAAUAUAAGUUUAAUGUAUAAUUAAAUUACAAUUUGCAAAUAAAAUAUGAAACUAAAGAAAUAACAAUUCCAAAUGCUUCUCAGGUUCAAAAAAUUCUUCUAAUUUAACUUUAAAUCAUAUUAAUAUUUUCAACAACCUUCAUUAAGCUAAAUUUUAAAAUCAACUAUACUAAGCAUCAAUCACUUUCAACUCUUCUAACAAAAUGGCUUUGUAAAGAUAUUUACAACUUGAUCUCACAUUGAUGCAUAUAACCAUUAUAUCACUAAUAAAAUUUGACUUGAUGUCAAGUGUAAGCUAAAAAUGACAUAUUUGAAAGUAUGAUGUUGUAGUUUUGUAAGUGUCAAUCCACACGUACAAGAGCAUAAUUUUUUGCUUUAGUUCAUACAAUGCCUUAUAAAGUCAAACUUGCUUCUCUUACCCUUAAUAUUUCAUAAUAUGUUGACUCUGGUAAGCUAUAGUAUCCACUAGUCAACGUGUGUAUGUAGACAUGCAUGCCCCGAUUGAUUCUAUGACCAUUCAAAGUAAGGGAUGAUGUAAGAUCAUAAGCACUUCAUAUUCAUGAUCCAUCCCUUCCGAUAAAACUAUUUUAUUAUUCAUGAAGAAGACUAAACAAAUUAUGCUAUCACUUUUUAUUUCAUUGUAUACAGACGUAUAAUCGUACAUUUUUAUAAACUAAACAUUAAUGUAAAAUUAAUCUAAAAUCCAACUGAAUUGGAAUUUAACUUAAGUCGUGUGAGUGUUUAUUUAGGUUGAUAAUUUUGGAUAAAAAUUCUUAAACAUCUCCUAACUCGGGUUUUCUAAAUCAUUCCUUAGACUACUUGCCUAAUAAAGAUCAAGAUGUUGAAAAUGCUUAAAGGUCAAAAUAAGUAGUUGAAGAUGUAGGUGAAUGUGAAUCAACAAGUAUUCAAAUUGCUAUUUUUUUUCUUAACCUACUUAAAAAAAUAAUAAUAAUAAGGAAGUCAAGGCAAUGAUUUUUUUUUUUUUCCUUUUUUACUAAAAUAUUUUUGUGCCUUAUUCUCAUAUUGAUUUGGAUUUAAGUAAGAUCGAUCAAUCUUUUGUUGGAUCUAUUUUUAAACAUUGGGUCAACGGUUUCCUUUCAUAUUUAACUCAAAUGUUUCCAAUUUAAGAGAGGAAACACCAACAAUCGUUCUAACUCCCCUUGAGCUCUCUCUUUCUUCAAUCAAAUUGGAAGUAUUUGGUUUCCAAAAAAAUCCUCCUUACCUAUAUUUUCAAAUCAUUUUUCAAUUUGAUUUUCUUAAAAAGGGGUUGAUUCAUAUCAUUUAUUCAUCUCUCAUUUUUUUUAUUUGUUUGACAUAGGAUGAAAAUUCAGUUUCUUCUUAUGUGGAUUCAAGAAGGGGCCAAGAUUAAGCUUAAUGUAGACUCUAAAUGUGCUCCGAAAGAACAUGUGAAGUUUAAUUUGGGAAAUACUAAUUAAGUAGUCCAAUAAUGAUAAAUAGACUUAAGUUAGAUAAAACCUUGUACCUGAUUAUGCUUCAUAAUAAAAGCUUUUGAUCGUUAAUAGAUCCCUGGUUUUUGGUCUCUUAGGUGACUUUCCAUGUUAAAAUUUGGUGUUAUUGUAUCUCUCUCAUUCUUCUAUUUUGUUUAUUCCUAUUUAUUAACCUCAAUUUCAUACUUCGACAUAUUUGGUAGAUGGGUGAAAAAUGAACUAAAACGAGUUUGAUUAUUCUUUGAAAAUCUUGAAUAAUUUUCUAUUCAAUUUUAUUAUGAUAUCAAAUAGUAAUUAAAAAUAUGCUAAGAAGUUAAUUGUUCUUGUGAAUUUAGCUUGGGCAAUCCAUGUACAUAUGAAUUACAUUUAUAAAUUAUUGAGAGAGUAUUAUUGUAUUGAUACUUGUAUGUGAUUUUUAGUUUUUAUUUUUUAAAUGAUUAGAAGAGAAGGGUAUAAACUAUGAAAAAUCUAAAGAAUAGAUAAUAUGUAUUUCCGGACCUCUUGAAUUUGUUUAAAAAACACCUAUUUACUCCCCUUCUCGGUGUAGUACAUCAUUAAGAUUCAUCCUCAAAUUAUAAGUGGGUUACAUCAAUUUAUAAUGCAACAAAAAUUAAAAACCUAGUAUAAUUAUUGUUGUUAUUGAUGUAUUAAGAUUAAUAUGGUGAAUUCGGACAAUCAAAUUUAAAUAAAGCUGACAAUAAUUUUCAAUGGUGUUGACAUCAUUAUAUUGAAAAGUAAAAAUUAUUUUAAAGCAACAAAAAAUAAAUAGAUAAAAAUGAGUAAACUAUAUGCAAGAAACCUGUUGAAGUUGCCAAGAUUGAGAUUGAAAGAAUUAUUUUAAGGCAAAACAUAUGAACUGUCGAAAACAUUUAGCAGAGUGUUUUUAUUCCAUGUAGAUGCAUUUAGAAAUAGGGUCAUGUGAGGAAAAAUUAUAUGAAAAUUAAUUUUUUGAAGUAAUCUGCAACUUUAAGAAAACCUGUAAAUAGAAGUUUGCUUCUUUGGUUGGAGAGGACCACAUUGUGCUUUUUCUCUGGUAUACACUAUUUUUUCCCGGUAUCUGCAAAUAAAUUGUUACAGCAUAACGUGUAUAAUCAUUUUUUAUUUUUUACUUUUGAUGAAUAAAUAAUAUGUAUAAUCAAAUGAAACCUCAGAACUAAAACAAUUAACAUUUAUCAAUGGCACUCAGCACAUUACAAACAGAUUAACAGGUCUGCAAUAAGUAGAGAUCAUCAGAAUCACCAUGCAUAAAUGAGAAAGAUGCAAAAACAUGGGAGAAAUUGCUUCUCCCCGAUCAUAAUUUUUUGUGGAAUUUAAGGUUUUUCUUCCUUAUUCAAAACUGCAGAAAUGCCUCUUCAAUCCUAAUCAGAUUUAUUACGAAGCUUAAAAUUACCAAGGCAAUAGAGAAAAGGUAGAAGGCACAUUCAAGAAAGGCACGAGUAUGCCAGCUCCUUUUCCUCACUAAGCUCCUGUGCAGUCAAGUCCAACUUCUUCCUCGAGAACUCAUCAAUAUGAAGUCCUGAGCCAAUUUGAGGGCAGAGAAAGAGAAAAAAAGAUAAGGAGAACAGAAUAAGCUAAUCCAUUGAUACGAAAUUGCUGAUAGAAGCUAAUACACAUGCUUCAUCUGUAGCUAACAAGGCUUAAGGACCUCACAUACGUGACCAGAAGUAGACAAGUUCUUGAGAACAUAAACUUGAAAAGCUUAAACAAAAGUAGAGGUUCAACCAGCUCUGACGUUUAAUUUCAAUUGAAACCAUAAUUCAACAUGCAACAACACUCCAGGUAACAAUUAUGAAUCUUUAGACACUGUAUUUAUAUUGAAGAAAAAAGAAUUAGCAUGACUCAUGAUAUAAAAUAUGGUCUCUGAAGAUGCUUCAAUCAGUAAAACAAAAGAACAAGUUUCAAAGAGAAGAUCACUCUGUUGUUGCUAAACAAAAGAAAACCCGUUUGAAUAGAAAAUAGGUCGCCAGCCAGCGGAUCGGAAGGGCUCCAAAUAAAGGACUAGACUACAUAGAUAGGUAUAAUAGCAGAUGUUAAAUUCUGGAUGCAGAAUACAGUUGGUAUCGAAGGGCAGAAAAUAAGCACGUAGUACCUAAAGUUGUGUUUUAUGUUUCAUAGGUCCAAUUCAAAUGAACAAGGAAGAAGAGAUUUAGUCAAAACAUUGGCACUACAUCCCACUUCCAUCUAUCAAUGACACAAUCAAAGAAGUCACCCGAAUCAAGAAAACAAAAAAGAAUGGCAUAAAGCAAAUCACAUAAAAGUUCUGUAAAUCAAAUCCAUGUUCCUAUCCUAAACAUUCUCCAUUCAUCAAAUAUCAACAAUACUUGUAAGCCAAACAUCCCAAGAAUGAAGAAGAAGAAGAAAAAUGAUGUCAAGCGAAUCAUAUAUUUGGCCAUCCAGGAAUUAUUUGGAAUAAAAAAAAGAAGAAAGAAAAAACAAAAAGCAUAGGAAUCUUCGCAAUUAUUUGCAAAGUUCAUGGUUUCCAUACAGAAAUCACUGAUCACUUUUUUAAAUAGAAGGAAAAUGAAUAGAUUAAAUAUUCUCAGAAAACAGUGAAGAUUCCAAAGAGCCAGAGCAUUUUGUCAUAGUGCAUGAUUGUUACCUUGUACAAUCUUCCAUUCUCCAGCACAGCAAGUUACAGGGAAGGAAUAGAUAAGACCCGCUGGAACAUUGUAUGAACCAUCAGAGUAUACGCCCAUGGACACCCAAGUUCCCUGAAGUUGCAAGGAGAAAAUCAAAUGCAUCAGAUACACCACACACAAUCUAUUACUGGAAGUAUACAGAUGUAAAAGCACUAACAGAAAACAACCUCUGGAGUUCCAAGCACCCAAUCACGGAUAUGGUCACAUGCAGCACUUGCAGCAGAUAAAGCACUCGAGAGCUUUCGUGCUUUGAUAAUUGCAGCACCACGUUGUUGGACAGUGGUGAUAAAUUCCCCAUUCAACCUUCAUGAAUAAAAAUGUAAAAAUGAUUAGAUAAAUUUAAAUAAAACAAAAAAAAAUACUAAUUAAAAGUAAACAUGACUUAUGCCCCAUACCAUGCAUCAUCACCCACAAGCCCCCGCACAGGUUUCUCACCAGCUGGGGUUUUGACAGUAGCAUGGUUGACAUCCGGAUACUGAGUUGAAGAGUGAUUUCCCCAUAUGAUAACAUUCUUAACAUCAGAUACUUGAACAUUCAGCCUUUCAGAGACCUGACCUAGUGCCCUGUUAUGGUCCAGUCUUGUCAAACAACUAAUGUUUUUCUCAGGAAUUGAUGGUGCAAAUUCCUUCAGGAUCAAGGCAUUUGUAUUUGCUGGGUUAGCA
rnacentral:lncRNA from 1 species